rnacentral:snRNA from 1 species
AUGCGCUGAGAUCAAUUCUUGACAUGCAUUUCUUUCGCCUUUUACUAAAGAAAUCUGAGAUGUGACCUUAUAACGCGCGUUUACAAUUUUUGAGCCCACAAGGC